CCGCCCGUCACAUCAUGAAAGCCGGUUGUACCCGAAGUCGCCGCUGCUAACCGCAAGGAAGCAGGCGCCGAAGGUAUGGCUGGUGAUUAGGAUG
rnacentral:rRNA from 1 species